CAAAGGUGAGCCAGUACAGGAUGGACCCGCGUCUGAUUAGCUAGUUGGUAAGGUAACGGCUUACCAAGGCGACGAUCAGUAGCCGACCUGAGAGGGUGAUCGGCCACAUUGGAACUGAGACACGGUCCAAACUCCUACGGGAGGCAGCAGUGGGGAAUAUUGCAUAAUGGGCGAAAGCCUGAUGCAGCAACGCCGCGUGAGUGAUGAAGGCCUUCGGGUCGUAAAACUCUGUCCUCAAGGAAGAUAAUGACGGUACUUGAGGAGGAAGCCCCGGCUAACUACGUGCCAGCAGCCGCGGUAAUACGUAGGGGGCUAGCGUUAUCCGGAUUUACUGGGCGUAAAGGGUGCGUAGGCGGUCUUUCAAGUCAGGAGUGAAAGGCUACGGCUCAACCGUAGUAAGCUCUUGAAACUGGGAGACUUGAGUGCAGGAGAGGAGAGUGGAAUUCCUAGUGUAGCGGUGAAAUGCGUAGAUAUUAGGAGGAACACCAGUUGCGAAGGCGGCUCUCUGGACUGUAACUGACGCUGAGGCACGAAAGCGUGGGGAGCAAACAGGAUUAGAUACCCUGGUAGUCCACGCUGUAAACGAUGAGUACUAGGUGUCGGGGGUUACCCCCUUCG
rnacentral:rRNA from 1 species